CGGUACAUCGGUGACAGGUGGUGCAUGGUUGUCGUCAGCUCGUGUCGUGAGAUGUUGGGUUAAGUCCCGCAACGAGCGCAACCCCUACGUUUAGUUGCUAACGCGUGAAGGCGAGCACUCUAGACGAACUGCCGUUGACAAAACGGAGGAAGGUGGGAUGACGUCAAGUCAUCAUGCCCUUAUGUUCUGGGCUACACACGUGCUACAAUGGCCGGUACAGACGGACGCAAAGCCGCGAGGUGGAGCAAAUCCUAAAAAGCCGGUCUCAGUUCGGAUUGCAGGCUGCAAUUCGCCUGCAUGAAGUCGGAAUCGCUAGUAAUCGCAGGUCAGCAUACUGCGGUGAAUACGUUCCCGGGCCUU
rnacentral:rRNA from 1 species